rnacentral:lncRNA from 1 species
UCUUCACCACCCUCUAACGAUUAGUAGUCGGUCACCUCACCAAGAAUAUUUUAAGUCCUUCCAUCCCUCCCACCUCUGCCUUCCUUCGUCGCAUCGUCAACCUGCUUGUAAUGUGCUAGGCAUCAGAGACAUGAUUAUGAUGUGUGUGGCACAUAAGACUCUUGAUUGUUUGAGUAUUGUUUGGAUUUGUGAGGUCCAACGGUUGCACCACCAAAAUCGACGCCUUUAG